rnacentral:misc_RNA from 1 species
AGCAGCCGCGGUAAUUCCAGCUCCAAUAGCGUAUAUUAAAGUUGUUGCAGUUAAAAAGCUCGUAGUUGAAUUUCGGGAUCAAUAUGUUGGUCGUGCCUUGGUACGUACUGGCGUCAUUGAUUUCUACCUUCUGAAGAACCUCGAUGUCAUUAAUUUGGUGUCUUGGGGAAUCAGGACUGUUACUUUGAAAAAUUAGAGUGUUUAAAGCAAGCUCACGCUUGAAUACAUUAGCAUGGAAUAAUGAAAUGGGACGUUUGAUUCUAUUUUGUUGGUUUCUAGGAUCGACGUAAUGAUUAAUAGGGAUAGUUGGGGGCAUUAGUAUUCAAUUGUCAGAGGUGAAAUUCUUGGAUUUAUUGAAGACUAACUACUGCGAAAGCAUUUGCCAAGGAUGUUUUCAUUAAUCAAGAACGAAAGUUAGGGGAUCGAAGACGAUCAGAUACCGUCGUAGUCUUAACCAUAAACUAUGCCGACUAGGGAUCGGAUGAUGUUAAUUUUUAAUGA